AGGACGAACGCUGGCGGCGUGCUUAACACAUGCAAGUCGAGCGGUGAUCCUCCUUCGGGAGGUGAUCAGCGGCGAACGGGUGAGUAACACGUGGGCAACCUGCCCCUCACACUGGGAUAACCUCGGGAAACCGGGGCUAAUACCGGAUACGACCUCGAGCGGCAUCUCUUGAGGUGGAAAGCUCCGACGGUGAGGGAUGGGCCCGCGGCCUAUCAGCUUGUUGGUGGGUAACGCCCACCAAGGCGACGACGGGUA
rnacentral:rRNA from 1 species